AGCGAACGCUGGCGGCAGGCUUAACACGUGCAAGUCGAGCGGGCCCUUCGGGGUCAGCGGCAGACGGGUGAGUAACACGUGGGAACGUACCCUUUGGUUCGGAAUAACGCUGGGAAACUAGCGCUAAUACCGGAUACGCCCUUUUGGGGAAAGGCUUGCUGCCGAAGGAUCGGCCCGCGUCUGAUUAGCUAGUUGGUGGGGUAAUAGCCUACCAAGGCGACGAUCAGUAGCUGGUCUGAGAGGAUGAUCAGCCACACUGGGACUGAGACACGGCCCAGACUCCUACGGGAGGCAGCAGUGGGGAAUAUUGGACAAUGGGCGCAAGCCUGAUCCAGCCAUGCCGCGUGAGUGAUGAAGGCCUUAGGGUUGUAAAGCUCUUUUGUCCGGGACGAUAAUGACGGUACCGGAAGAAUAAGCCCCGGCUAACUUCGUG
rnacentral:rRNA from 1 species